rnacentral:rRNA from 1 species
AACAGGGAUUGCCCCAGUAACGGCGAGUGAAGCGGCAACAGCUCAAAUUUGAAAUCUGGCCCCUAGGGCCCGAGUUGUAAUUUGUAGAGGAUGCUUUUGGCGAGGCGCCUUCCGAGUUCCCUGGAACGGGACGCCACAGAGGGUGAGAGCCCCGUCUGGUCGGAUGCCAAGCCUAUGUAAAGCUCCUUCGACGAGUCGAGUAGUUUGGGAAUGCUGCUCAAAAUGGGAGGUAUAUGUCUUCUAAAGCUAAAUAUAGGCCAGAGACCGAUAGCGCACAAGUAGAGUGAUCGAAAGAUGAAAAGCACUUUGAAAAGAGGGUUAAAAAGUACGUGAAAUUGUUGAAAGGGAAGCGCCUAUGACCAGACUUGGGCCCGGUGAAUCAUCCAGCGUUCUCGCUGGUGCACUUUGCCGGGCACAGGCCAGCAUCAGUUUGGCGCGGGGGAUAAAGGUUUCGGGAACGUGGCUCCCUCGGGAGUGUUAUAGCCCGUUGCGUAAUACCCUGCGCCGGACUGAGGUACGCGCAUUGCAAGGAUGCUGGCGUAAUGGUCAUCAGCGACCCGUCUUGAAACACGGACCAAGGAGUCGUCUUCGUAUGCGAGUGUUCGGGUGUAAAACCCCUACGCGUAAUGAAAGUGAACGCAGGUGAGAGCUUCGGCGCAUCAUCGACCGAUCCUGAUGUUCUCGGAUGGAUUUGAGUAAGAGCAUACGGGGCCGGACCCGAAAGAAGGUGAACUAUGCCUGUAUAGGGUGAAGCCAGAGGAAACUCUGGUGGAGGCUCGCAGCGGUUCUGACGUGCGAAUCGAUCGUCAAAUAUGGGCAUGGGGGCGAAAGACUAAUCG